rnacentral:rRNA from 1 species
UACAGAGGUCCCAAGCGUUGUUCGGAUUCAUUGGGCGUAAAGGGUGCGUAGGCGGCGCGGUAAGUCGGGUGUGAAAUCUCGGGGCUUAACUCCGAAACUGCAUUCGAUACUGCCGUGCUUGAGGACUGGAGAGGAGACUGGAAUUUACGGUGUAGCGGUGAAAUGCGUAGAUAUCAGGAGGAACACCUGUGGUGUAGACGGCUUUCUGGACCAUAGCUGACGCUGAGACACGAAAGCGUGGGUAGCAAACGGG